GACGAACGCUGGCGGCGUGCUUAACACAUGCAAGUCGAACGGAAAGGCCCUGCUUUUGUGGGGUGCUCGAGUGGCGAACGGGUGAGUAACACGUGAGUAACCUGCCCUUAACUUUGGGAUAACUUCAGGAAACUGGGGCUAAUACCGGAUAGGAGCUCCUGCUGCAUGGUGGGGGUUGGAAAGUUUCGGCGGUUGGGGAUGGACUCGCAGCUUAUCAGCUUGUUGGUGGGGUAGUGGCUUACCAAGGCUUUGACGGGUAGCCGGCCUGAGAGGGUGACCGGCCACAUUGGGACUGAGAUACGGCCCAGACUCCUACGGGAGGCAGCAGUGGGGAAUAUUGCACAAUGGGCGGAAGCCUGAUGCAGCAACGCCGCGUGCGGGAUGACGGCCUUCGGGUUGUAAACCGCUUUCGCCUGUGACGAAGCGUGAGUGACGGUAAUGGGUAAAGAAGCACCGGCUAACUACGUG
rnacentral:rRNA from 1 species